AUGCAGAACUUCAGCCCCUCAGGGGUCCAUGGGCAGAGCCAGCCUUGGUUCAAGGAUCUUUCUCCUCCACCCUGGACAAAUCCCCAUAGCAGGCUCUCAGCCCUGGCCCCACACUCCUGCUAUAAACAGCCUCUGUGUCCUGAGCACGAUUCUUCAUGUGGUUCUGUUGGUGACAGCAACAUGAUGUGGAGGAAAUCAAAACUGCCUGCAAAAUAUCAGCUUAGCCCUUCAGAGCUUGGAGGAACAACCACAAGCUGCGCUUCAGGAGCAGGACUUAGCAACUCCCCAGCAGAGCGGCCCAGGGCCCCUAUGCGGACAGUUUUCUGCCGAUCUUUACCCCUGCCCGGCGUGAAGGCCGUUUUCUGGUCUCUUGCCUCCUCUUCGUGCCCACGCCUCUCCCAGGACUCUUGCGGCUCCCAACCCGGCGUUUCCAUCCCGAGUGCUCCCACCCAGGCCUCGCUUCCAGCUGCCUCACAACGAUCCUCUGAAACUCACAGAGCGAGCAUCCAUUCCCUGCGAAACUGCUCCCGUUCGGCGCCUCGGUUCUGCUGGAGACGUGGGCUGCGCUACUCCCUGCCCUGGCAGCCCAGUGGGCAUGAUUCACUCCUGUUUGCUUAAUUAGUUAAAUCAAAUUAAAACGUGUUUGGGGC
rnacentral:lncRNA from 1 species